AAGGNUAAAACUCAAAGAAAUUGAGGGGGCCCGCACAAGCGGCGGAGCAUGCGGAUUANUUGGAUGCAACGCGAAGAACUUCACGUGGGCUUGACAUGUUCCAGACAGCCCCAGAGAUGGGGCCUCCCUUCGGGGCGGGUUCACAGGUGGUGCAUGGUCGUCGUCAGCUCGUGUCGUGAGAUGUUGGGUUAAGUCCCGCAACGAGCGCAACCCUCGCCCUGUGUUGCCAGCACGUCGUGGUGGGAACUCACGGGGGACCGCCGGGGUCAACUCGGAGGAAGGUGGGGAUGACGUCAGAUCAUCAUGCCCCUUACGUCCAGGGCUUCACGCAUGCUACAAUGGCCGGUACAACGGGAUGCGACACUGUGAGGUGGAGCGGAUCCCUUAAAACCGGUAUCA
rnacentral:rRNA from 1 species